CACGUAGGGCGCAAGCGUUGUCCGGAAUUAUUGGGCGUAAAGAGCUCGUAGGCGGUCUGUUGCGUCCGCUGUGAAAACUCGGGGCGUUAACCCCGAGCCUGCAGUGGAUACGGGCAGACUAGAGGUAGGUAGGGGAGAAUGGAAUUCCCGGUGUAGCGGUGAAAUGCGCAGAUAUCGGGAGGAACACCGGUGGCGAAGGCGGUUCUCUGGGCCUUACCUGACGCUGAGGAGCGAAAGCGUGGGGAGCGAACAGG
rnacentral:rRNA from 1 species